UGCUUUAAUUGAAGCCUUUAAGAACUCAGUAUAAGCUCCUAACACUUAUGGAGGUGCUGAGCCUGAGCUUCCUGAGUUUCCUAUCACUCCUGCUGCAGGUGAAACUUUGAGAUGCUUCCAUGGUGUUAUCAAAUUACCUUGGGGCAGAAGCUCUCAAACUCCUGCCUGCAGAAUCACCUGGAGGGAGGGUUAAGACAGUGUUGAGCUCUUCCUCAAGAGUGUCUGUUCAGUAAGGCUGGGGUAGAGGCUGAGGAUUUGCAAGUUGAACAGCUCCCAAGAGAUGCGCUGCUGCUGGAAUUGGGACUUCUGAGGUCCUCUGUCUCAAGGAGCUGUCCUCAAGUAGUGAAAGGCAGUGCUUGACUCCUGGUGAAACUAGCUUAUGAAGAGACUGGCUCCAAGCAAAGGUCUCUGGACUUCUUGAUGCCAUUGGGUUCUAGGAAACUCGUGGGAAGUGACCCAUCUGGCCCUGUGCAGCAAAGAAGUUCCUCAUGAGGCAGAGGAGAACCAAGAAGAAAUGAUGGGUUAAAAGUGAAAUGAAUGAAAAGUAAAGACUUUCAAGAAAGGAGUCAUUACCUCUGUCAUGUGCUGCUGAUAUGACUUGGCUGAGCUCCAUGAAAAACAUUGUGACCUCAAUACAAACUCUCUGUGUGGUUGAUGUGAGUCCAAAGACAACAGGGAGAGAAGUGGAGUCGCCAAUGAAGACAACUUUUUGAAGCAGGUUUGUUGAUUGGCUGUUUUAACACCAAGUGAAUUGCAAAGUAGACUUUUAUGAGAAAGGAACAGCUUUGUUUGAGAAUUCGAUAUAAUUAUUUUUGAGGCUGUAUAAGUUGAUCCCAUAUAUGAAACACUUGGGACCAGACAUGUUUAGGAUUUCCGAUUUAGGAAUAUUUACAUAUACAUAAUACCUUGGCUAUACACCAAUUUUAGUGCGGCUGUUUUUUAC